GACUUGAGACUCGACUUGGACUCGAGCUCAAAGACUUGAGACUCGACUUGGACUCAAGCUCAAAGACUUGAGACUCGACUUGGACUUCCAAAAAAUGACUUGUGAACAUCUGUAUCCGAACCAACAUCCA